CAAUGGACGCAAGUCUGACCCAGCCAUGCCGCGUGCAGGAUGACAGCCUUAUGGGUUGUAAACUGCUUUUAUCAGGGAAUAACCCCCCGUACGUGUACGGGGCUGAAUGUACCUGAAGAAUAAGCAUCGGCUAACUCCGUGCCAGCAGCCGCGGUAAUACGGAGGAUGCAAGCGUUAUCCGGAUUUAUUGGGUUUAAAGGGUGCGCAGGCGGAUAAGUAAGUCAGUGGUGAAAUCUCUCGGCUCAACCGAGAAACUGCCAUUGAUACUGUUUAUCUUGAGUGUAAAUGAAGUGGGCGGAAUGUAGCAUGUAGCGGUGAAAUGCAUAGAUAUGCUACAGAACACCAAUUGCGAAGGCAGCUCACUAAAUUACAACUGACGCUCAUGCACGAAAGCGUGGGGAUCAAACAGGAUUAGAUACCCUGGUAGUCCACGCUGUAAACGAUGAUUACUCGUUGUGGCGAUACACAGUCAGCGACCAAGCGAAA
rnacentral:rRNA from 1 species